UUUUGUUAGAAUUGAAAAAAAUAAUUCGCGACUACAACACUUCUGCUGUUCUCCUGACUUUUGUGUUAAAAAAGGAAGGCAAACAUUUAUGCUUCUUUUUAGAACAUAGUUCAUUAUAGAGUUUCGUGUAGGUGCGAGCAGGCUAUAUAAUAUGCUUUAGCUUCGUGUCGUUUUUUUAACGGAUUCCGCUGCUUGUGCUAAAGCGCUGAGUAAAAUCCGUAACGUCAUGGAGCGAAGCGAUGGAGCCGAAAAAGUUGACGCGAGUGUAGAUACGCAGAUACACCAUAAAUCACAUGAAAAACCAUACGACUUUUGGGAACAUCACAAGCUAUUAACAUUUGAUACGCCAAAUAAACAAACUCAAGCGGGGGAUGAAUUAGCGGUUUAUCUUAAAUUACCGUUGAGUGAAUCAAUUACUUCAGUUCCGCGCGAGCGCCUGUUUUCGAAAGUUGGGUCAUUGAUAUCGGAAAAAUGAAACCGUUUAUCGGCGACAUAUCUACGAAAGCUUUGUUUUCUGGGCAGUAUUGAUGAGUCCGAAUGGUUUAAUUAGAAUAAAUAUAUGUUACUUAAGUUGCAAUAAACAAUAAUAUUAUUUUAAA